CGGCCGCGGUAUCCUGACCGUGCAAAGGUAGCAUAAUCACUUGUUCCUUAAUUAGGGACUAGCAUGAAUGGCCAAACGAGGAUUCAACUGUCUCUUAUUUUUAAUCAGUGAAAUUGACCUUUCAGUGAAGAGGCUGAAAUACUAAAAUAAGACGAGAAGACCCUAUGGAGCUUAAAUUAAAAGUUUAAUUUUACUUCCAUCAGCCUAAUGGCAUAACACAAAAAUUUUAAACUCUAAAUUUCGGUUGGGGUGACCUCGGAGAACAAAAAAUCCUCCGAAUGAUUUUAACAUAGACCAACAAGUCAAAGUAACCUAAAAAUCUUAUUGACCCAAAAAUUUUUUUGAUCAACGGACCAAGUUACCCUAGGGAUAACAGCGCAAUCCUAUUUUAGAGUCCAUAUCGACAAUAGGGUUUACGACCUCGAUGUUGGAUCAGGACAUCCCAAUGGCGCA
rnacentral:rRNA from 1 species